GACGUAGGGCGCGAGCGUUGUCCGGAUUUAUUGGGCGUAAAGAGCGUGUAGGCGGCCGCACAGGUCCGUUGUGAAAACUGGAGGCUUAACCUUCAGACGUCGAUGGAAACCGUGCGGCUAGAGUCCGGAAGAGGAGAAUGGAAUUCCUGGUGUAGCGGUGAAAUGCGCAGAUAUCAGGAAGAACACCCGUGGCUAAGGCGGUUCUCUAGUACGGUACUGGCGCUGAGACGCGAAAGCGUGGGGAGCGAACAGG
rnacentral:rRNA from 1 species